CUAACCUGAGGGAGCGAUGCUUUCGUCAUAGAAGUCCUGGGCUUUUUGUGGAGAAUCAAAGUACAAGUUUUCAUUUCUGAAGCAGACCUGGAGACGGGCGGGAUGCAGCAAGCGGAACUUUAUUCCUUUCAGGUAGAGCAUAUUUUUGACGGGGUUGAAAGCAGCUCGUUUCUUGGCCAAAGCAGGGCUGAUGUCCGGGUAAACUCAACUCGGUGCCGCAGUAAUCCAGUUUAUGUUGUCUGGCCCAUCUGAGGACUUUUUUUUUCUCCUGGAAACGGAGGAAUUUAUUGAUGAAGGUCCGCGGUUUUCCGGCGCCAGCAUCCAGCGGUCUGGGACCGAGGGAGCGGUGAGUUCUCUCUAUCUCCGGCGGGACCGGUUCUCGAGGUCGUCCACUCGUUCCAGGAGCACCGUAGUUUGGGACUGUAGAAACUUCACAGCGGCUUCCAUCUCGACGAUGACGUCAUCUGGCGACUUUCACAACAGCCAAUAGCUACUCUCCUUACUGAGGAGGUCAUGACAGUGUUCAGCACCAGACCUCCUCCAAGCACCGCCUCACCAUUUCCACAAAGUGGAGCCAAAUUCAAAUCCCCAAUGAAUUGAGUGAACUAAUAGUUGAACAUGUUGCUGCAUGUCUUGGAUAGUCGAGAGCAGAAUGUCAGGUUGUGUGAUCCAACACUUGAUGGCUUCCUAAAAGAAGGCUGGAACCAGUGUCCAGCAGCAUCUGGACAUCACCGCCCAAAGCUGUCAGCCCUACCUUCUUGCUGAGGGAGCAACAAGAAUCAGAAUUCACUCCUACGUCCUUGUGACUGACAGGUGUUGGCAUUCCUCCAAAUAAGCCAGGUACCACACCCGAUGACGCUUUGCAAAGGCUUCAUUAAGGCGAACAAGCAGGACAACAUAACUGCAGUGCCACACUGUAUAACGUCCCUGCUCACGUGACCCAACACACAAAUCAAGAAAACAACAAACCAUUAACAAUAGGGCUUCUUCAGCAGCUGCCAACAUGCAAGACAAGUGAGUUUUGAUAACUUGAGCUCUCUAAGUGCCCUUCAUGUGUUUUUUCUACGUCAUUAUGGAUGCCCACAGACAAGUGCAAUAAUGUUUGUUUUUUUAGUACAUCAAACAUUUAUUAACAAACCUUCAGUGUGGUUGAAGCUCUUCUGUAAACUUUCCAAGUCCUCUUUGUCCUCCACUUCAUCGCGAAUACCUAAAUGUGUCUGCAACAAAAAGUGCUCUGGAUCCACCGUUGCAAAUUUCUUCAUCCAUUCUUGUUUGGCUUCUGCUUUCCUUGUGUUGCUGUCAUAGUGACCGAUCUCAACGUCAUCAAUAUAAGCCACGACCACAUAAUCUGGGAAGUUUGUAACUUGAGAGGACGCAGUGUGGAAAUAC